rnacentral:rRNA from 1 species
ACGCUAGCUAUAGGCUUAACACAUGCAAGUCGAGGGGAAACGGCAUUAUGUGCUUGCACAUUUUGGACGUCGACCGGCGCACGGGUGAGUAUCGCGUAUCCAACCUUCCCUCCACUCGGGGAUACCCCGUUGAAAGACGGCCUAAUACCCGAUGUUGUCCACAUAUGGCAUCUGACGUGGACCAAAGAUUCAUCGGUGGAGGAUGGGGAUGCGUCUGAUUAGCUUGUUGGUGCGGGUAACGGCCCACCAAGGCUACGAUCAGUAGGGGUUCUGAGAGGAAGGUCCCCCACAUUGGAACUGAGACACGGUCCAAACUCCUACGGGAGGCAGCAGUGAGGAAUAUUGGUCAAUGGACGUAAGUCUGAACCAGCCAAGUAGCGUGCAGGAUUGACGGCCCUAUGGGUUGUAAACUGCUUUUGUUGGGGAGUAAAGUGAGGCACGCGUGCCUUUUUGCAUUUACCCUUCGAAUAAGGACCGGCUAAUUCCGUGCCAGCAGCCGCGGUAAUACGGAAGGUCCAGGCGUUAUCCGGAUUUAUUGGGUUUAAAGGGAGUGUAGGCGGUCCGUUAAGCGUGUUGUGAAAUUUAGGUGCUCAACAUCUACCUUGCAGCGCGAACUGGCGGACUUGAGUGCACGCAACGUAUGCGGAAUUCAUGGUGUAGCGGUGAAAUGCUUAGAUAUCAUGACGAACUCCGAUUGCGAUGGCAGCGUACGGGAGUGUUACUGACGCUUAAGCUCGAAGGUGCGGGUAUCGAACAGGAUUAGAUACCCUGGUAGUCCGCACGGUAAACGAUGGAUGCCCGCUGUUAGCGCCUGGCGUUAGCGGCUAAGCGAAAGCAUUAAGCAUCCCACCUGGGGAGUACGCCGGCAACGGUGAAACUCAAAGGAAUUGACGGGGGCCCGCACAAGC